GACGAACGCUGGCGGCGUGCCUAAUACAUGCAAGUCGAGCGGACAGAUGGGAGCUUGCUCCCUGAUGUUAGCGGCGGACGGGUGAGUAACACGUGGGUAACCUGCCUGUAAGACUGGGAUAACUCCGGGAAACCGGGGCUAAUACCGGAUGGUUGUUUGAACCGCAUGGUUCAAACAUAAAAGGUGGCUUCGGCUACCACUUACAGAUGGACCCGCGGCGCAUUAGCUAGUUGGUGAGGUAACGGCUCACCAAGGCGACGAUGCGUAGCCGACCUGAGAGGGUGAUCGGCCACACUGGGACUGAGACACGGCCCAGACUCCUACGGGAGGCAGCAGUAGGGAAUCUUCCGCAAUGGACGAAAGUCUGACGGAGCAACGCCGCGUGAGUGAUGAAGGUUUUCGGAUCGUAAAGCUCUGUUGUUAGGGAAGAACAAGUACCGUUCGAAUAGGGCGGUACCUUGACGGUACCUAACCAGAAAGCCACGGCUAACUACGUGCCAGCAGCCGCGGUAAUACGUAGGUGGCAAGCGUUGUCCGGAAUUAUUGGGCGUAAAGGGCUCGCAGGCGGUUUCU
rnacentral:rRNA from 1 species